GACGAACGCUGGCGGCGUGCCUAAUACAUGCAAGUCGAGCGGAGUAUUUCCUUCGGGAAAUGCUUAGCGGCGGACGGGUGAGUAACACGUAGGUAACCUGCCUAUCAGAUCGGGAUAACUAUCGGAAACGAUAGCUAAGACCGGAUAACUGGUUUUCUCGCAUGAGAGAAUUAUGAAACACGGAGCAAUCUGUGGCUGAUAGAUGGGCCUGCGGCGCAUUAGCUAGUUGGUGGGGUAACGGCUCACCAAGGCGACGAUGCGUAGCCGACCUGAGAGGGUGAACGGCCACACUGGGACUGAGACACGGCCCAGACUCCUACGGGAGGCAGCAGUAGGGAAUCUUCCGCAAUGGACGCAAGUCUGACGGAGCAACGCCGCGUGAGUGAUGAAGGUUUUCGGAUCGUAAAGCUCUGUUGCCCUAGACGAACAGCAUGAGGAGUAACUGCCUUGUGUGUGACGGUAUAGGAGAAGAAAGCCCCGGCUAACUACGUGC
rnacentral:rRNA from 1 species